CGUGGCUCCAUGGUGUAACAGUUAGCACUCUGGACUCUGAAUCCAGAGAUGCAAGUUCAAAUCUCAGUGGAACGU
rnacentral:tRNA from 1 species